rnacentral:lncRNA from 1 species
ACGUGGUUUUGGGGUUUUCAGGUGGUACGUGUGCAGCGCGGUGGCGCGAGGGGAGGGCGUAGUUCAGUAGAUAGCGCCCUACCACAGAGACCGAGGUAGCAGUACCCUGAGGCAGUCUAGCUUAGGGGGCUAGAAGACAAGAAAAGAAAAUGUAUCAAACUUGUAAAUUAAAUGAUGUAAUAAUUAGAUUGUAAUUUGGAGGUAAAAUGUAACUGAGAUGUAUUAAGUGAAUGCGAAUGACUGCUUGUAAUAGCUAUUAGUUUUAUAUAUUUGAUACUUCCUUAUGCAAUCUGGAUUGAUAUCCGUUCCUGGUUGGAACAUUCGUUGAUUGUUUGGAUUGCGACGCCUUGGACGUACUGGGGAGACUCUGUCCGCGUACAAAGGAAUCCCCGGUC